UCUAUUUUAUUAUUGACAGAGGUGAUAUAUGAUAGGAAGGAAAGGAGAGGGAAGGAAAUGGAGAGAUGGGAUGAAGGGUUGGAGUGGGAAGAGGUGGAGCCCCCACAGUGUCAGUCCCAUGUCAACAAGGAAUGGGAAAUGAUGGGCGGCGACGAUUGCUCCAUCUUCCCUCCCAGCUCUCACGAAGGCCUCCCCAUCUCCAACACCCUUGAUGUAGGAGGAGCACCACCAGCAGCAGAACCCCCUCCAUCAGUCGUCAUCGAUAGAGGAAGAGAUAUUGGAGAGCUGCCGGUUCAGCCAACAUCACGGCCCUCCACUUUCACUCUCCUCCGUUUCUCCAAGCACCAAUUUCACCUCAUUCGCUCUAAGCUUCUUCUUAUUCUCCGUCCUUUAACACCAUGUCCGGUUUGGUCAUUCGCCCCCGCCGCCAUCACUCUACUGGGAGCAUUAAUUUAUAGGUGUCGUCGCCGGGCCUUGUCCAUGGACAAGGAAUCCUCUAUGCUUCUCCUCAUCCGCGACAAGGAUGAGGGAAGCAGAUGCUCAACUGACUGAAGCGUGAGGGGAAGUUGAGGCUGAUUGGGUGUGGGAGGGGGGAAGCAUUCGUUUCAUAAUGUUGGCAGGUAUAAACACCUAUGAAGCAGGUGUAGGAGUAACACAUUGGGUGGAAGUUCUUGUAAUCAAGCGCGGACCUCUUUGAGAAGAUACCAUGGAAUGCAUCUGAGUGGUGUAUUUUGAAAGUGAAGGUUUGUGGAAUUGUUUAUUGAAAAAUAAAUCAAGUGUGCGGAUGUUGCCUGACUGCUUAAUUGUUUGAUGUUCAGUUACCAUUGGUGGUAGAUUAGGAAGUCGGCUGCUUGAGAACAAGUGGUGCAAAAUACUUUUAUGGCCAAAAGGGUUGGGCAGGAAAUAAGCAAGAGCAGCAACAGAAUUGUAAGAACUUAGUUUAGGAACUGAAGUGUCUCGAAAUGACAAUCCAAAGCAUGAGUGGCACCUUAAGUUGAAGAUUCAUGCAGAAGAUUAGUCAGCUCAUGCAUCAAAUCACGGAAAUGAAUAAGGUAGUGUCUGCACGCCGUAGUGUUCCUGUACUGAGGAGUGCUUGAUCCUAAAGGGCUUCUUGACCUGAUAUGUUUUUGGGAGCAAUCUAUUCAUUUGCCAAGUGUAUAUCAGUGAUUCAUCUGGUUUCAUUGUUAGAGGGUUGCAAGAUUUUUGAGCUUUCAUGACUGAUUCUUAAAAA